GACAGAGGCCCCAAGCGUUAGGCGGAAUCACUGGGCUUAAAGCGUGUGUAGGCGGAUGCCUAAGUACCUUGUGAAAUCCCACGGCUUAACCGUGGAACUGCUCGGUAUACUGGGUGUCUUGAGCCACUUAGGGGCUACCGGAACAAAUGGUGGAGCGGUGAAAUGCGUAGAUAUCAUUUGGAACGCCAAUGGUGAAAACAGGUAGCUGGGAGUGUGCUGACGCUGAGACACGAAAGCCAGGGGAGCAAACGGG
rnacentral:rRNA from 1 species